rnacentral:tRNA from 1 species
GGGUCGCUAGCUCAGCGGUAGAGCACUCGGCUUUUAACCGAUUGGUCUUGGGUUCGAAUCCCAGGCGACCCACUA